rnacentral:lncRNA from 1 species
GUGUGAUAUGAUAUUUAUCCACAGUUUAUAUACAGUUUUAGAGAUGAACAGUUGAUAUACAGCUUUACAGAUGUACAUAGAUAAAGGAAGAUGCGGUGUGAGUACAGUUUUGUUACGGGCUCAACCAUGCGACGGGGAUUUUAUAAAAAGUUGCUGUGUUUUUCUGUAUUUUUAAACUGAGGUAAUGUUCAAAAGGGACUCUGAAAUGUCUGAGAUAUAAUUACGACACAUAUGGUGUUAUUAUUGCAAACAAAGCACCAUACAACACUGUGUUUGUAAGUAAUUCAUAUAACUACAAGUGUAUUAUAAAAAAAACUAGAAACUAAAACUCGGGGAAUCACACGCACAAAAAAGUAACCUUUGAUAAAG